CAGGAGAAGGAAAUUAAGUUAAUGAUUUCGUGCCAGUCUAACGUGCAAAGAGCUGUUCGCCUCGAGCGUUUACUCUCUGUGAGAGAGCGAAAGAUUAACCACACCGACUGCAUGGACCAAUUACAGACUCGAACCCUGUCGUCUACAGAUCCUACAGUCCACAGAUGUACAUCGUUAGCGAGCUAACUAGACAAACUGGUAACAGCGGGAAAGCCGUCCAAACGAAGACCAGAAGAGUUGAAAAGAUCCUGGAUGAUAAGGAUCUGACCCUCAACUGCAGAUGACUGAAGACAAAAAAAAAAAAAUAAACUAUACAUUUUCUGAUUGCUCUGAGAGUUAAAAUGAAGAUAACACUGUGCACAUUGAGGCCUCAUGUGUCAAAUCUCUAUUACUGGAUUUGUAAGUUUAUGUUUAAGUUAAAGUUAAGGUUUGUAUUCAAAAAUAUUUUAAAAUGGAUGUUAUAUUAUAUAUGGAUAUUAUAUCAUUUGUCAAUCUAGUGCUUCAACUAAAUUGGUAUUCAACCUAGGCUCAUUCUGAAAUGAGCAUCUGAAAAUGCACUGCUAUAUACAUUUCUGGAGAGCGCCAAAUACAUCCCAGGUGCUACAUUUUUUAUUUUUUUUGCAAUUCCACCAAAGGGCACUGUAUAAGCUUUUUGAGAUCUCAAAUUUCUCUUGCAAGUGCCAUUCAAGCCUGCUUUUCUCGUGUAGAGCUGUCCAUAUGGAGGUAAGCGGUCAGCUGGUAUGUGUGAAAAGGAACAGAUCAUGCCACCCCAUUGUGUUUGUUUUAAAGAUGAAAUGCAGCCAUACUGUAUGUACUUCUGGUGAUCUACAUAAAUGUAUAUAGGGUUACGUUU